rnacentral:tRNA from 1 species
GGAGAGGUCGCAUAGUGGUCGAGUGCAGCGGUCUUGAAAACCGCCAACCGAAAGGUUCGAGGGUUCGAAUCCCUCCCUCUCCG